ACGGGUGAGUAACACGUGACUAACCUACCCUGGAGUGGGGGAUAACUGGGAGAAAUCCUAGCUAAUACCGCAUAACACCUACGGGUCAAAGGAGCAAUUCGCUUUGGGAGGGGGUCGCGGUCGAUUAGUUAGUUGGCGGGGUAAUGGCCCACCAAGACUGUGAUCGAUAUCCGGCCUGAGAGGGCGCACGGACACACUGGAACUGAAACACGGUCCAGACUCCUACGGGAGGCAGCAGUGGGGAAUUUUGCGCAAUGGGGGAAACCCUGACGCAGCAACGCCGCGUGGAGGAUGAAGUCCUUCGGGACGUAAACUCCUUUCGAUCGGGACGAUUAUGACGGUACCGGAAGAAGAAGCCCCGGCUAACUUCGUGCCAGCAGCCGCGG
rnacentral:rRNA from 1 species